GACGAACGCUGGCGGCGUGCUUAACACAUGCAAGUCGAACGGAAAGGCCCUGCUUUUGUGGGGUGCUCGAGUGGCGAACGGGUGAGUAACACGUGAGUAACCUGCCCUUGACUUUGGGAUAACUUCAGGAAACUGGGGCUAAUACCGGAUAGGAGCUCCUGCUGCAUGGUGGGGGUUGGAAAGUCUCGGCGGUUGGGGAUGGACUCGCGGCUUAUCAGCUUGUUGGUUGGGUAGUGGCUUACCAAGGCUUUGACGGAUAGCCGGCCUGAGAGGGUGACCGGCCACAUGGGGACUGAGAUACGGCCCAGACUCGUACGGGAGGCAGCAGUGGGGAAUAUUGCACAAUGGGCGGAAGCCUGAUGCAGCAACGCCGCGUGCGGGAUGACGGCCUUCGGGUUGUAAACCGCUUUCGCCUGUGACGAAGCGUGAGUGACGGUAAUGGGUAAAGAAGCACCGGCUAACUACGUG
rnacentral:rRNA from 1 species